rnacentral:rRNA from 1 species
AACUUGUUCUCUUGACGUGAGUGGCGCACGGGUGAGUAACACGUGGGAAACCUACCCUUCAGCGGGGGAUAACCAUCGGAAACGAUGACUAAUACCGCAUAGACGACAGAACCGCCUGGUUCAAUCGGGAAAGACGGCUUCGGCUGUCACUGAAGGAUGGUCCCGCGCUGCAUUAGCUAGUUGGUAAGGUAACGGCUUACCAAGGCGAUGAUGCAUAGCCGACCUGAGAGGGUGAUCGGCCACAUUGGGACUGAGACACGGCCCAAACUCCUACGGGAGGCAGCAGUAGGGAAUCUUCCGCAAUGGACGCAAGUCUGACGGAGCAACGCCGCGUGUGUGAAGAAGGUUUUCGGAUCGUAAAGCACUGUUAUUAGAGAAGAACAGCCGAUAGAGUAACUGUUAUCGGUUUGACGGUAUCUAACCAGAAAGUGACGGCUAACUACGUGCCAGCAGCCGCGGUAAUACGUAGGUCACAAGCGUUGUCCGGAUUUAUUGGGCGUAAAGGGAGCGCAGGCGGUUUGUUAAGUCUGAUGUGAAAGCCCACGGCUCAACCGUGGAACGGCAUUGGAAACUGGCAAACUUGAGUAUAGAAGAGGAAAGUGGAAUUCCAUGUGUAGCGGUGAAAUGCGUAGAUAUAUGGAGGAACACCAGUGGCGAAGGCGACUUUCUGGUCUAUAACUGACGCUGAGGCUCGAAAGCGUGGGGAGCGAA